rnacentral:rRNA from 1 species
UACGAAGGGGGCGAGCGUUGUUCGGAUUUACUGGGCGUAAAGCGCACGUAGGCGGACUAUUAAGUCAGGGGUGAAAUCCCGGGGCUCAACCCCGGAACUGCCUUUGAUACUGGUAGUCUCGAGUCCGGAAGAGGUGAGUGGAAUUCCGAGUGUAGAGGUGAAAUUCGUAGAUAUUCGGAGGAACACCAGUGGCGAAGGCGGCUCACUGGUCCGGUACUGACGCUGAGGUGCGAAAGCGUGGGGAGCAAACAGG